rnacentral:lncRNA from 1 species
ACCCCAGGAUUCUGUGAUUCCCUUUGUUUCCCCCUUUUCCCAAUUAACCUCGUUUUAAGCUGUGAUCACCAGCAGUGCCUUUUACCCUCUGCUGCCCUUCUGCAGGUUUUCCAUCCCCAGCUGCCUCAUCCAGCCCUGCUCUUAGCACCAGGCAUUAAUAAAGCCAAAGCAGAGGUCAGCAUGAUCAUCCCCUGGCUCAGCCUGCUGCAGGGAAACCCUUCCCAACAGAGGGAAAAUUGCAAGUGGUUAUGGAAAUUAUGGGGCAGGUAGGAAAUAGCAUUCCAGCCUGGUUUAAUUUGUGAGUGGAUGUCCUGGAAAUAAGGUACAGCAAUGCAUAGCACAGGUUGUUCCAGCGUGGAUGUUGGGCUUGCCCUUGUGUGAGCGUGAUGCUGCCUCAUGAUGUGGGAGCAGAUAUUAUAACCUUGAAGAAUCUUGUAGGACAUAAAAGUUUUAAUUAAAAAUCCAGCUUGGUUGAGGGUAUUUUGGUUUAGUAUGAAUGUCUUCAUUUCUUUUGAAAAAAGAAUUAAAUGAAACCCUUAGUAUUCCUUUUUUUUUCUUUUUUUUUUUGAUUCCUGCAUAUUUAUUCUUGAAGUUGAAGCAUUAGAAAAUAAUUGAGUAAAACAAAAUCCACAAGGCUUCAAAUUACCUCUAGCUUAAUGUUUUAUUUAAAAGGUUUGCUAACUGACAUUCUUUAUAAUGAAUUAGGUCACGCGGCUCCGAGGAGUGUUGUCGGUUUUCUUUUUUACAUUUAAAUUUGAGGCUGCUUCCCUUGAAACUUGGGCUCUGCUGCCAGAGCUGUGACUCCCUGGCUCAGGGAAUCUCACUCUAAUUAUUCUCAAUCACACCAGCGCAAAUGAAUAUAUCCAUGUUUGGAGGGUGGCAGCGGUGUUGUCAUGGCAAUCUCGGGAAGGUCAUGAGAAACUCAUGGAUUUUGUUCUCUGCCCCUCCUGGGAGGCUCCACCUUCGCUGUGGGGAAGGGCUUUGGGGCAGGAUCUCCUUGGGGUUGGCUUGGAAGGAUUUGCUGGUUCCUGCUGGGGUGGCGGAGGGUUUGUGGCUCUCUGCUCGUGCUCCUCUGGGCGUCACAUCCCCACUCAGGCUUGUUCUGGAAUGUUCUGGGAUCCUCCUGAACCUCAGGGGCAGCAGAAGGACCUUGGGGCUCCUGGACUUGCCAAAAACCCUCUGAGGAAUCCACCCUGGUCCAUUUUACCUCGCCCACCCAACACCUGCAGGAGUGGCCAGUGAGCUGUGAGGGCAAAACCGUGUCUGAAGAGGUUUAAAAAGGCACAGGGGAGCCUUUAAUGCUGGGAAAACAUUUAACUGCAGCUUCUGCAGUAUUUAACAGGGCUUCAAACCCCUCUGAUUAUCCCUGGCGUUGGCUUUUGUCGAUCCUUUGGUUGGCUAACGUGUCCCUUUCAGCUUUGGUGACAAUAAAAUGUGAGUAAGCAGAAAACUCGAAUUUCUG